rnacentral:lncRNA from 1 species
AUGAAGAAGAGAAUAAUAUGUCUAGGGUCAGAUAUUAUGAUCAUUAUUGAUUCAAUCAUCAUCUUAUCAGCACUAGUCACAAGUGAAAAUGAAAAACGUGAAGGACCAACCCAGCAUCCAUUAUUACAUAGUGUUCAUCCUGGAUGGAUCAGUCAAGAUCAAAGUCCCGCAAAUACCGCUGGGAGUAUGGAACAACAUGAAUUUACUGUUCCAGGUGAAAGUGAUAUUGAAAAGGAAUCUUCUCAUACAGCUAUGGCCUCCGAUUACGGGGCCAAACAGAAUGACUCAACACAAGACCCAUUGGUGUAUCCAGGUUGGGACGAGGGAGAUGAUAAUUCUGCACGACCCACUGUAAUGGAUAGAAUUAUUUCUUCCAGAGAGAAUGAUCAUGAAAAACAGUCUUCCAGUACAGGUACUAGUAAAAAUAUCAAUUACAUCUAUUUCAUGACUUAAGUCUCUCAGGUGGUCUGUUCUGGAACGAUACUGCAUGACUUUGCACAUGAACAAGUUUAUACUUCUCAUCUGUGAAUAUUCAUCUGGUGAAAGAGCAUUAUUUUCAUAGAUUUUUUUCAAACCACUAGGCCGUCUGGUUCAGGAUCACUGUUAGAAUGGUGAAAGAGAGGAAUUUACAAAAUUAAUGUUAUACAAUUCUACCACGCAUCCAUGAUGCAGUCUGGUAUAGCACGUACCAUUUAUGCCAAUGAAGUAUGUUCUAAAAUCAUGAUAUGAGAAACGCAUAACUUAUUUGUGCUGAAAUAAGAGAAGAGGGAACUAUAAUCCUUUAUUAUAGAGCUACUGCCCAGAAAGUCUGUUUGAUUUUGGGACGCAGUGUGUCAAAUCUCUACCACAUCAAAUCUCUUGUAUGGCUUUCAUGUAUUCCUUUGAUGGUCUUUCUUCUGUCUUCAUUGUUCCUACCAUUAUACAAUAUUAGCCAAUUAUUCUGAAAAAGCAAGAAAGCUUAGGUUUCCUCCUGAAGUUGAUGAGCUGUGGUCAGCCUGUGAUGCAGGUCGGGGAACUCCCCUGACUGCUGUCUUACUGUCCUUUCCCUGUGUCCACUGACCUUGGGAAUCUUGUGGACUAAGCCACAAAGCG